rnacentral:rRNA from 1 species
GACGAACGCUGGCGGCGUGCUUAACACAUGCAAGUCGAACGGAAAGGCCCUGCGUUUGUUGUGUGCUCGAUUGGCGAACGGGGGAGUGACACGCGAGUAACCUGCCCUUGAGUUUGGGAUAACUUCAGGAAACUCGGGCUAAUACCCGGUAUGAGCUCCUGCUGCAUGGUGGGGGUUGGAAAGUUUCGGCGGUUGGGGAUGGACUCGCGGCUUAUCAGCUUGUUGGUUGGGUAGGGGCGUACCCAGGCUUUGACGGGUAGCCGGCCUGGGAGGGUGGCCGGCACCGUUGGGACUGGACUACGGCCCAGCCUCCUACGGUAGGCAGCAGAGGAGAAUAUUGCACAAUGGGCGGAAGCCUGAUGCAGCAACGCCGCGUGCGGGAUGGCGGCCUUCUGGUUGUAAACCGCUUUCGCCUGUGACGAAGCGUGAGUGACGGUAAUGGGUAAAGAAGCACCGGCUAACUACGUG